ACGAACGCUGGCGGCAGGCUUAACACAUGCAAGUCGAACGCCCCGCAAGGGGAGUGGCAGACGGGUGAGUAACGCGUGGGAAUCUACCGUGCCCUGCGGAAUAGCUCCGGGAAACUGGAAUUAAUACCGCAUACGCCCUACGGGGGAAAGAUUUAUCGGGGUAUGAUGAGCCCGCGUUGGAUUAGCUAGUUGGUGGGGUAAAGGCCUACCAAGGCGACGAUCCAUAGCUGGUCUGAGAGGAUGAUCAGCCACAUUGGGACUGAGACACGGCCCAAACUCCUACGGGAGGCAGCAGUGGGGAAUAUUGGACAAUGGGCGCAAGCCUGAUCCAGCCAUGCCGCGUGAGUGAUGAAGGCCUUAGGGUUGUAAAGCUCUUUCACCGGAGAAGAUAAUGACGGUAUCCGGAGAAGAAGCCCCGGCUAACUUCGU
rnacentral:rRNA from 1 species